UACGGGGGGAGCAAACGUUGUUCGGAAUUACUGGGCGUAAAGCGUGCGCAGGCGGUUCGUUGUGUCCGUCGUGAAAGCCCCGGGCUUAACCUGGGAACUGCGAUGGAAACUAGCGAGCUGGAGUGUGGCAGAGGGGGGUGGAAUUCCGCGUGUAGCAGUGAAAUGCGUAGAGAUGCGGAGGAACACCGAUGGCGAAGGCAGCCCCCUGGGCUAACACUGACGCUCAGGCACGAAAGCGUGGGGAGCAAACAGG
rnacentral:rRNA from 1 species